rnacentral:lncRNA from 1 species
GGAAGGCAUGACAGAUGUGCCUUCCUUAGGGAGAAGUAGGAAGGCUGGAAUGAGGAGGCCAGAAGAGGAAUGUCCUACGUGAACGUGAUUUAACAGCUCCAUCGCCUGGGGCCACGUGGAAUUCUUGAAGCAGCUGUGUCAGACAUCCGAGUCAAGUUGGGGCAUGAGUGACCUCUCAACAUCUAAUGGAGCAUUUACUCCUUAGGCAGUUGAUGACAAUAGUUCUCCAAACCUGCUGAUCCCAAGGUGGCAGGUUUCCCGGUCAGCUGUGGCUCUGAAGUAGGAGGGGUUUGCAGGAGUAUCACACACAGCUGUAGAAGGAACAGAAUCAGAGCUGGAGAGGGAGAAUUGCUCCAUGGCCAUGAGUGGGUGUCCUCUCAAGCGGAGCCCCGAGUCCAGUAGAACUUGAGGCUUUUCGCCAACCCACGAAGUGCAGAUGGUAACGCUUGCUGUUGUGUCCCUGAGACUAUAUAGGGCCUAGUGUCUGGUUUAUGCCCUUGCACUGGGUCACUCUCACCCUGGAAUCACCCGGCUGGGGACUGAACCUCUCCUGCCACCACUCCAACUCCUCCUGAGACACUCACCUCCUAAGACACUCACCUCCUGG